rfam:Myotis brandtii contig198561, whole genome shotgun sequence.
GGCAGUUCUUGGGUGAUGCACCUUGGAAUCGGGUUCUCUCCUCCCUGGUUCCGGGUGCGUCACCCGAGAAUCUCA